rnacentral:rRNA from 1 species
AGCAGCCGCGGUAAUUCCAGCUCCAAUAGCGUAUAUUAAAGUUGUUGCAGUUAAAAAGCUCGUAGUUGAAUUUCGGGGUUCUACCGUUGGUCGGGCUUUGUCUGCACUGGCGUGUAGAAUUUCUACCUUCUGGGGAACCAUCAUGUUAUUAAUUUAACGUGGUGGGAAACCAGGACCUUUACCUUGAAAAAAUUAGAGUGUUCAAAGCAGGCUUGU